CUUUCCCCACUCAAGACCUUCUCAGUGACCUACAUUGCACUGAUUUUAGGAUGCAUCUCUUUCUUUGUCUUUGCUGAGGAUGGAAUCGUCAGCUUGAAGGGCAUCUAAAGGAAGGUAUAUAAUCAAAACUCUUGAGUGUGCUGUAAAAGAACACUGUGGGAGAAAGUUACUCAAUAAGAGCAGUCUUUUGGAAUCUUGAAAGCCUGAUUUUCAGAAGCAGAGCUGGAGUCCUGCAUUGCCAUCACUCCUGUGCUGUUGAACGACCUCUUGGAUUUUCUUCACUGUAACAGAAGUCAUAACUUACUUGUAUGUGCCAUACUUACUUGCUACUGAUUGAUAUGGAGCUGUUAAGCAUAAUUUUACAUGGAAGAAAAUAUUGUACAUCAGAUUAAAAUUUGUCACUCUAGAUUCCAAUUUUGGAAAGAGAAGGGCAGACUUCUGAUAUUCCUGCUGCAAAUGCCAAGCCUGGCACCCUGUUCAGAGAUCUUUUACGAAGCAAUUCCCCCAAGAUGGCUGGGAGAUCCUUGGAGUAACUCAAGUGCCAAGGUUCCACAAUAGAAUGCUAGCUUCAGAACCCACACCAACCAGCAGCCAAUACCACCUCUGAAGGAAAUAUUACACCAUUCAAUAAUUACCCUGAGCUUGAGCCCAGAUGCCCUGAUCAGGAUUUGUACUGCAGAUAUGUAAAAGAAGAUCUCACACCUACCUCAGAAAUUUUUGAGGCUGAGAUUGCAAGGGAUUUAGAAAAGAAAGGAGAAAAUGAAAAUGGAACUCCUCUACAUGUACAAACAUAUUCUUAUAAAUGCCUGCUGCUUAGAAAUUUCCUUAAUUGGUUGAAUUCAUGUAAACAUCACACAGAACAAGUAUUCAAAACUUCAUUCAGAAAUACUGCACUGAUUUAGUAAAGGUGAAUUUCAAAAUAUUCAGUAUUCACUGUGGUUUAGAAAAGCCCUAAAGAAAUACAGAGAUUCUAUAAAAGCCACUGCAAAGGUCUCAAGUGACUUCUGCUAUCGGUGUGAACUGAAUACCUCCUGAAGACAACCUGCAGCACAGAAAAUACCAUCCUUCAUAAAGCAAGGCACAAAAACUGCAGCAAGGAAAAUCUUAAAAAUAUGAUGGGGCUACAACAUAUGUUCUUUUCACUGGGAUUCACAUGAUAUAACUACCAGUAUUUCACAAUGGAGAUGCUUUAGUUAUCAUAAACCACUUUGAAGUAGUUCACAGAAACCACUCAAAUCCUCAGCUAAUUGACAAUUUAAUCUGCACUUCACAGUCAGUGAUAUUUAAGACUAUGCAAUUUCCCACAUCCUCUGCUCCAUUACAAUUCUUCACAGAACCUGCUUUAAAAGCAUUGUCAAAAUGUCCAAAUGUUUUUUAAGCAGGCUACAGCUGUCUAUAUCCUUCAAAUAUAUAAUGGCUUUCCUUCUGAGGUCAGCCUGUAAAAGCCACAGGAUUUUGCAUCAACAAAGAAGUCUCAGCAGCAAUGCAAUCAUGUGGAUUAUAUGAAACUGGACCAUCUGAAGGGCUAACCAAAGCCCUGUAAAACUAAUAAAAAAUGGAUGUUGCUGAACUUUGGCA
ensembl:lncRNA